rnacentral:rRNA from 1 species
UACGUAGGGGGCAAGCGUUGUCCGGAAUCAUUGGGCGUAAAGCGCGUGUAGGCGGCCCGGUAAGUCCGCUGUGAAAGUCGGGGGCUCAACCCUCGAAUGCCGGUGGAUACUGUCGGGCUAGAGUGCGGGAGAGGCGAGUGGAAUUCCUGGUGUAGCGGUGAAAUGCGCAGAUAUCAGGAGGAACACCAAUUGCGAAGGCAGCUCGCUGGGACGUCACUGACGCUGAGACGCGAAAGCGUGGGGAGCAAACAGG